GUCAUUGACGUUUGUUUUGAUGAUUGUUAUUACUGGUGGUGGCUUUUGAAUCUGUGCACAAAACAUGAUGUUCUUGUAUACAGAAAGAGGCUUAUAGGCUUAUUUCAGACAACUCCUCCGGUCUCCUGACACAGUGGAGGAGCUACAUCACAUUCUGGAACCAGAGCAUCUAAAGGCUCCAAGCAGCUCACCUGGGAUGCAGUCCUCAGGCAGGAGAGACACAUGCCGGUGGUGGAGCACUUGGUCUGCUGCCAUGAACCCUGUAUGAGGGUGUGUUGGCUGGGUGAGGAGCUCCUGCCCUCUGUGUUCUAUGUAUUGAGACAGAUGAGGCCCAGCAGCACUCUCAAAGAGGAGAUAGUAGAGUUAUUCAACCUGCAGCUCUGUGUACAUCAUCUCAAGGGUCAAAGACACAAGACACAGGAGCCUAUGCUGAGGACUGGGCCAAAUGGCAGAGUCUACUCUAUAACCUCUAUGAUGCCCUGGUGACUGAGAUCAGCCAGAUUGGGAGCCGGGAGAAAUAUGCCACAGGGUUGCGCCACAUUGCUGUGAAGGAGAAGCUUAUUGAGCUAACUGGAGACAUCAGAUGAUAAAUCUAAGAUCCUUAAUUUUCACAUCUUGACUUCAUUUACCAUUUCCAGGCUAAAACCUGAGCUGUGCUGACAUAGUUCACCUGUCUUUAAGAUGGUUUUGGUAUUGUUGGUCUCAUCUUCAUGUUUUGGGUGUUUGACUGUUUCUUAGCUCUAUAGCGAAGAUUGUAACCUUCAGAUUCUGGAUGUGACUCAGGCCCACCUCAGAGCCACCCAGAGAGGAAGUCCCCAGGGCACGCCCAGCAAGUGCAGACACAUCGAGCUGGGCUGGGAGGUUCUCCGAGACCACCUGCAGCCACACCAUCAUACCAUGUGUUGCUGAUCUGUGUUUGGCCCAGGCCCUUCUCAAGUGUCCUGUUCCUAAGCUUGGGCACUGGGUGGGACCAUGCAGGGCCGUGGAGGGGGUCGGGCCCCCCAGCAUCAAGGAGAACAUCAUGAGCUGGCUGCUGAUGAACGAACAGAGUGAAGAGGCAGAGGAGAGAUCAAGAUCACACCCCAUCAUCUGCAGUGGGCAGUUUAUCACUGGGCUCAUAUCUCAUUUUUAUUCACGCUUAACCGCUCUGCUAGUGUUGUCUAAUUGGGAUUAUUUUGCCUUGAUACAAUGUUUUAUGUCUGUAAUUGUUUUAACACAUCCCUAAUACAAGUUUGUGUCUUAUUCCUCUUUGCCCAGGGAUUUUCCUCACAACCUAAUCCGCAGAAUCCUUGUGCCUUUGACCCUCAAAGACACCCGAGCUGGCAUUAUGUUUCUCUUCGGAGCAAAGGAACUUGAGAGGCUGUUCUUGGCGAUGACACCGGACAGCUUGGAGAAGAGAAAGAUGCUUCCUCUGAAAUGCCAGCAGACAGCCUUUGAGAACAUCUACCUGAAAGCCUAAGAAGGGAUAAGGCUCCAGAAGAGCAGCUCUCCUGAAUACCUGAAUGACGAGACAUUUAACCGCAAGGCCACGCUGCUGAAGAAUGUGUCGGUGGUGCUGUGCUGCUGCCCCGUCUGUGAGAAACAGUCCCUCUUCGCCCUCUUCCAGUCCAUCAAGGAGAACAACAUAGAGGAGCCGCUCAUCAAAGAGCUACGGGCAAAUCAUUUGGCUACACAUCCUGGGCAGUGAGUCCAGAGUUCUGGGCUACAGAAGUGUGGAGGGGUUUGUUAGUUCUCACCUGGAUUACCUGGUGGCAGAGGGGCUGGGCUAGCCUGGCUAUACCCUGGAGUCCUUCCCCUACACUCUGCUCAAUCACCCCACUCUCUUCUACAGCAAAUCUACUGCCUGAUUCACAGUAACCUGGCGGACAUUGUGGUGGAGCUGUUGAUGACCCUGUAUGAUGGGGCUGCUACUGAGGAGGGCAGAGGGGACCUGAGGAGGGAACUGGACCCAGCCCCAAUCCCACCCUCUUUCAGCUCCAAUGUUAUCAAAGCCACACUGGACUACCUCAGCAAAUGUCACAGUGCCAGUCACCAGUCGUCCCUGGUGGCCAUUUUAUCCAGGACACUGAUCUCCAUCCAGAGGAUCCUGCUGGCGGUGUGUCAGAAGGCAGCUGAGACGAUCAAUGCCUACGAGAGGAUCCCAGGGCAGUGAUUGGGGACAUUAGCCUGUGUAGUGUGCUGGUUUUCCUGACUCUCUGUGGUCACUAAAAGAUCCCAUGGAAUGUAAGAGUAGGGGUGUUAACCCUGGUGUCCUGGCUAAAUUCCCAAUCUGGUUCUCAUACCCUCAUGGCCACCUAAUCAUCCCCUGCUUCCAAUUGGCUCAUUCAUCCCCACUCCUUUCCCAUUUAACUAUUCCCCAGGUCGUUGCUGUAAAUGAUGUGUUCUCAGUCAACUUAUCUGGUAAAAUAAGGGUUAAAUCAAAUAAAACACACUUUCCAAAUGA